rnacentral:rRNA from 3 species
AAAUUGAAGAGUUUGAUCAUGGCUCAGAUUGAACGCUGGCGGCAGGCCUAACACAUGCAAGUCGAACGGUAACAGGAAGCAGCUUGCUGCUUUGCUGACGAGUGGCGGACGGGUGAGUAAUGUCUGGGAAACUGCCUGAUGGAGGGGGAUAACUACUGGAAACGGUGGCUAAUACCGCAUAACGUCGCAAGACCAAAGAGGGGGACCUUCGGGCCUCUUGCCAUCAGAUGUGCCCAGAUGGGAUUAGCUAGUUGGUGAGGUAACGGCUCACCAAGGCGACGAUCCCUAGCUGGUCUGAGAGGAUGACCAGCCACACUGGAACUGAGACACGGUCCAGACUCCUACGGGAGGCAGCAGUGGGGAAUAUUGCACAAUGGGCGCAAGCCUGAUGCAGCCAUGCCGCGUGUAUGAAGAAGGCCUUAGGGUUGUAAAGUACUUUCAGCGGGGAGGAAGGUGUUGUGGUUAAUAACC